ACGCACGCUGGCGGCGUGCCUAAUACCUGCAAGUAGAACGCUGAAGGCGGAGCUUGCUUCUCUGGAUGAGUUGCGAACGGGUGAGUAACGCGUAGGUAACCUGCCUGGUAGCGGGGGAUAACUAUUGGAAACGAUAGCUAAUACCGCAUAAUAGUAGAUGUUGCCUGACAUUUGCUUAAAAGGUGCAAUUGCAUCACUACCAGAUGGACCUGCGUUGUAUUAGCUAGUUGGUGGGGUAACGGCCCACCAAGGCGACGAUACAUAGCCGACCUGAGAGGGUGAUCGGCCACACUGGGACUUGGACACGGCCCAGACUCCUACGGGAGGCAGCAGUAGGGAAUCUUCGGCAAUGGACGGAAGUCUGACCGAGCAACGCCGCGUGAGUGAAGAAGGUUUUCGGAUCGUAAAGCUCUGUUGUAAGGGAAGAACGAGUGUGAGAGUGGAAAGUUCACACUGUGACGGUAUCUUACCAGAAAGGGACGGCUAACUACGUG
rnacentral:rRNA from 1 species